AUACUACUCCCUCCGUCUCAAAAUUCUUGUUUUAGAUACGUCUAGAUACGGAUAUAUCUAAUACUAAAACGUGACUUGAUACAUCUGUAUUUAGACAAAUCUAAGACAAGAAUUUUAUGACGAAGAGAGUAUUAA
rfam:Triticum aestivum genome assembly, contig: Triticum_aestivum_CS42_TGACv1_scaffold_409329_5BL